rnacentral:rRNA from 1 species
UGGGGGAUAUUGCACAAUGGGCGAAAGCCUGAUGCAGCGACGCCGCGUGGGGGAUGAAGGCUUUCGGGUUGUAAACCUCUUUCGCUAUCGAACAAGGCCCGCUUAGGGUGGGUUGAGGGUAGGUGGAGAAGAAGCGCCGGCUAACUACGUGCCAGCAGCCGCGGUAAUACGUAGGGCGCGAGCGUUGUCCGGAAUUAUUGGGCGUAAAGGGCUUGUAGGCGGCUUGUUGCGCCUGCUGUGAAAACGCGGGGCUGAACUUCGCGCGUGAAGUGGGUACGGGCAGGCUUGAGUGUGGUAGGGGUGACUGGAAUUCCAGGUGUAGCGGUGGAAUGCGCAGAUAUCUGGAGGAACACCGAUGGCGAAGGCAGGUCACUGGGCCAUUACUGACGCUGAGGAGCGAAAGCAUGGGUAGCGAACAGG